AACGAACGCUGGCGGCAGGCUUAACACAUGCAAGUCGAGCGCCCCGCAAGGGGAGCGGCAGACGGGUGAGUAACGCGUGGGAAUCUACCCAUCUCUACGGAAUAACGCAUGGAAACGUGUGCUAAUACCGUAUACGUCCUUCGGGAGAAAGAUUUAUCGGAGAUGGAUGAGCCCGCGUUGGAUUAGCUAGUUGGUGGGGUAAAGGCCUACCAAGGCGACGAUCCAUAGCUGGUCUGAGAGGAUGAUCAGCCACACUGGGACUGAGACACGGCCCAGACUCCUACGGGAGGCAGCAGUGGGGAAUAUUGGACAAUGGGCGCAGGCCUGAUCCAGCCAUGCCGCGUGAGUGAUGAAGGCCCUAGGGUUGUAAAGCUCUUUCACCGGUGAAGAUAAUGACGGUAACCGGAGAAGAAGCCCCGGCCAACUUCGUGCCAGCAGCCGCUGUAACAC
rnacentral:rRNA from 1 species